ACGGGUGAGUAACACGUAUCCAACCUGCCGCUUACUCGGGGAUAGCCUUUACGAAAGAAAGAUUAAUACCCGAUGGUAUAAAGAGUUCGCAUGUUCUCUUUAUUAAAGAAUUUCGGUAAGCGAUGGGGAUGCGUUCCAUUAGAUAGUUGGCGGGGUAACGGCCCACCAAGUCUACGAUGGAUAGGGGUUCUGAGAGGAAGGUCCCCCACAUUGGAACUGAGACACGGUCCAAACUCCUACGGGAGGCAGCAGUGAGGAAUAUUGGUCAAUGGACGAGAGUCUGAACCAGCCAAGUAGCGUAGAAGGAUGACUGCCCUAUGGGUUGUAAACUUCUUUUAUAAGGGAAUAAAGUGAGGGACGUGUCCCUUUUUGUAUGUACCUUAUGAAUAAGGAUCGGCUAACUCCGUGCCAGCAGCAGC
rnacentral:rRNA from 1 species